AAACCUCUUUCAGCAGGGACGAAGCGAAAGUGACGGUACCUGCAGAAGAAGCACCGGCCAACUACGUGCCAGCAGCCGCGGUAAUACGUAGGGUGCGAGCGUUGUCCGGAAUUAUUGGGCGUAAAGGGCUCGUAGGCGGUUUGUCGCGUCGGGAGUGAAAACUCAGGGCUCAACCCUGAGCCUGCUUCCGAUACGGGCAGACUAGAGGUAUGCAGGGGAGAACGGAAUUCCUGGUGUAGCGGUGAAAUGCGCAGAUAUCAGGAGGAACACCGGUGGCGAAGGCGGUUCUCUGGGCAUUACCUGACGCUGAGGAGCGAAAGUGUGGGGAGCGAACAGGAUUAGAUACCCUGGUAGUCCACACCGUAAACGUUGGGCGCUAGGUGUGGGACUCAUUCCACGAGUUCCGUGCCGCAGCUAACGCAUUAAGCGCCCCGCCUGGGGAGUACGGCCGCAAGGCUAAAACUCAAAGGAAUUGACGGAAUCACUA
rnacentral:rRNA from 1 species